GUAGAAUAGAAAAGUCGUCUGCUUUCGAAAUUAAAUGACAAAAAUGUGGUCGUCGUGUUCGUGUUGAUUCUGUUCGUUUAUCUUUAUGGAGUAGCUUAAUGCAUUUUAGCAGGCAAAUAAAGCUAAAAAUACAAAUAGAAUGAUUGUGGGAGAUUGAAUAGAAGACCUAGCAGUUCAAAGUUCGUGAAAUGUUAGUUCCUGACAUUAUUCGUCACAUUCGAGGCCUGAGCCAUCUUCCAUAACUACAAGAUUUAUGCCAGUUUCUGCUUGUGCUGGCAUUGACCUGUCGUCACCCACAAUCUCAGGAUCAUCACUUGGAUAGACACAGUGUCCAGUUUGUUUGGAGAGACUAUAUACCGAUGUCGGCCGAGUUCUUGCCCUUUUUUUAAAUUCCCUCUGUCCUCGUGUACACCCAUGCGAGUGUGGGGGUAUUCACGAGGACUCCCUUUUGCAGAUCCUGCUGUGUUCAACUUUCCUAUGGAUGGAGGUAGCACUCUUAUGGAUGCCUGCCCUGGCCGUAUUUCCUAGGCUUAAAGAGGAGUGAUACAUCUGCGCAAUUGACGAAGGAUUUCUGGUAGCACAGGUUGCUGCCUCCACCAGGACACAUUCCCGGACUAUUCCCUGCAUUGAGUGAAACAACAUUAGAGUAUAGUUACAGGCCAGAUUUAUCCACAUGUUGCAGAACGCAGUUUUCGCAAGUGACACCCAUUGUGUCACUUGAUGGUUGGGAAAAAUUUGCCAGUUGUGCCGCCGAUAUACCUUGUCCCGGCAUCUCCACCAGUUCAAAUACCUGAGUCACAAGUUCCUCAGCCGACUGCUUCGGACACAAGCGAAACUCAAAGUAGCCCGGGUGACCUCAAUUGUCACUCGUACAAACUAAAUUAAAGUCAAUUAAAAGUUAUAGUAAAAACGGACCAUAUCAACUAUACCCUAUCUUGUAAUGAAUCAAUGUAAUUGAUUACCGAUCCUUGUUUGCCCAAAUCUUUCCCGUUCCAUAGAGUCCACCUUCGUCGUUGGGUCUCGGCCGGGCCAAUUCGUCUCCGCACUCGCCGCAACGGCCCUGAUUGACUUCGUCAAAAUGCUGGGCCUGUACAACAGUUCAUUCAGUAUACCAAACCGUACCAAACAUAAAACCGAUAAGCAUUAGAGUAAUAAAAUAAAUGUAGUUCAAGGCUAUUUGAAAUCUAAAUUUUGGUACUUUAAUGGACUCAUUGAAAUACAGAUAAAACAUAUCAUCGG